UGAUCCUGGCUCAGGAUGAACGCUGGCGGUAUGCUUAACACAUGCAAGUCGAACGGGAUGCUUAGGCAUCUAGUGGCGGACGGGUGAGUAACGCGUGAGAAUCUGGCUCCAGGUCGGGGAUAACAGUUGGAAACGACUGCUAAUACCGGAUGUGCCGAAAGGUGAAAGAUUUAUUGCCUGGAGAUGAGCUCGCGUCUGAUUAGCUAGUUGGUGGUGUAAGGGACCACCAAGGCAUCGAUCAGUAGCUGGUCUGAGAGGAUGAUCAGCCACACUGGGACUGAGACACGGCCCAGACUCCUACGGGAGGCAGCAGUGGGGAAUUUUCCGCAAUGGGCGAAAGCCUGACGGAGCAAUACCGCGUGAGGGAGGAAGGCUCUUGGGUCGUAAACCUCUUUUCUCAAGGAAGAAGAAAGUGACGGUACUUGAGGAAUAAGCAUCGGCUAACUCCGUGCCAGCAGCCGCGGUAAUACGGAGGAUGCAAGCGUUAUCCGGAAUGAUUGGGCGUAAAGGGUCUGCAGGUGGAACUGAAAGUCUGCUGUUAAAGAGUUUGGCUUAACCAAAUAAAAGCGGUGGAAACUACAGAACUAGAGUGUGGUAGGGGCAAAAGGAAUUCCUGGUGUAGCGGUGAAAUGCGUAGAUAUCAGGAAGAACACCGGUGGCGAAAGCGUUUUGCUAGACCAUAACUGACACUGAGGGACGAAAGCUAGGGGAGCGAAUGGGAUUAGAUACCCCAGUAGUCCUAGCCGUAAACGAUGGAUACUAGGCGUGGCUUGUAUCGACCCGAGCCGUGCCGGAGUUAACGCGUUAAGUAUCCCGCCUGGGGAGUACGCACGCAAGUGUGAAACUCAAAGGAAUUGACGGGGGCCCGCACAAGCGGUGGAGUAUGUGGUUUAAUUCGAUGCAACGCGAAGAACCUUACCAAGACUUGACAUCCUGCGAAUCCUGGUGAAAGCUGGGAGUGCCUUCGGGAGCGCAGAGACAGGUGGUGCAUGGCUGUCGUCAGCUCGUGUCGUGAGAUGUUGGGUUAAGUCCCGCAACGAGCGCAACCCUCGUUUUUAGUUGCCAGCAUUAAGUUGGGCACUCUAGAGAGACUGCCGGUGACAAACCGGAGGAAGGUGAGGAUGACGUCAAGUCAGCAUGCCUCUUACGUCUUGGGUUACACACGUACUACAAUGCUACGGACAGAGGGCAGCAAGCCAGGGAUGGCAAGCGAAUCCAGAAACCGUAGCUCAGUUCAGAUCGAAGGCUGCAACUCGCCUUCGUGAAGGAGGAAUCGCUAGUAAUUGCAGGUCAGCAUACUGCAGUGAAUUCGUUCCCGGGCCUUGUACACACCGCCCGUCACACCAUGGAAGUUGGUCACGCCCGAAGUCAUUACCCCAACCGAAAGGAGGGGGAUGCCUAAGGUAGGACUA
rnacentral:rRNA from 1 species